rnacentral:tRNA from 1 species
CCCUGGUUAGCACAGUUGGUAGAGCGGCCCACUGUAAAUGGAGAGGCCCCGGGUUCGAUGCCCGAACCAGGCG